GCGGGAAUAGCUCAGUUGGUAGAGCACGACCUUGCCAAGGUCGGGGUCGCGAGUUCGAGUCUCGUUUUCCCGCUCCA
rnacentral:tRNA from 2 species